UUCUUUAAAUUACAAAAUAAAUACCAGUAUUUGAACUGGUUCCUUGGCUUAGAUUAGCUCUGAUUCUUCUUUUUCUUUCUCCCCAGACUCUUUAAGUGGAUUAGAGCUUGUCCUACUCCUCUCUGUUACAAAAUGAAAUCCUUAUCCCUCCCUCCUGCUGGCUGCAGACCAUCACUCCUCCUCUUCCUCCUCCUCCUCUUCCUCAGGUGUGUUUGCCUCCAUCAGAGUCAGUCACCUCCACCUCUCUGCCUCUUUAAGAUCAUCAUCAUCAUCGUUUUCUGAUCAAGGAUUUUCUUUAAAACUUUAAACUGACAUGAAGACUUCAUUAUUCUUCAUCACUGUGGGCUGUGAGAUCAUCAUCACCAUCUCAGAGAGCCGUGGAAGGACGUCCCGUGGUGUGUUUGGGUCUCCACCCACAGCUGUUCAGUCUCCCAGGCCUUCAGUAACUUUGAGCUGUACAACAUGGUUCGCCUAGGGGUCCACCCGGACACGACCUCUACUGUCUGGAUGAAACCGGUCAAGUUUGACUACAGUGACUUCAGUCAGUCCCAGUUUAACCAGUGAUUUUAAACCAGUUAGACACAAACACACUGUAAAACUGCGUGUGCGUGCGUGUGUGUGUGUGUGCAGCCUUCAGCCCUCCAUCCAUCUCAGUGUCUCUAAGAGAAGAGCGGCUGGUGGUGCAGGUGCACUUUCCCUGUGCUGCCAACAGGAGGUGCUCUACAAAGCUGUGCUGUCCCAUCUCUCAGCUAAUUGAUCCUUGGACAACAGUCACCAUGAACAGUGACGUCAACAUGACAUCACAGCAGAGUCGAACAGUGUGGACACACGACGUCGUCUCAUACGUAGAGUUUUCGGGUUUGUCUCCGGGUCAGAAUUACUGCGUCGUGGCCAAUUUCUCCUUCCCGACCUUCUCCAUGGCCGCCUCCCCCAAGUCUGACCCCCAGUGCAUCAGGACCACCGACGCCAACCAAUCAGAGCUUCAGUCUCAACUCUUGUUGGGAAUAGGUUCUACGUUCCUGUUCCUGUUCCUGUUCCUGUUUCUCGUUGUUUUUCUGCUCAAACAGAGAUCAAAGACGACCAAGAGCCGCUCGGUUUGUUUCCAUCUUUACUCAUCGUUUAAUCAUCAUCAUCACCAUAAUCAUCAUCACCAUCAUCAUUAACAGUCCACGUUUCUUUCAGGCUCCCGUCCCAGUCCCACUCCCUCCAUCACUGGUUCCAGUUCCAGUCGACCCUGAGGACGUUCACCUGGAACUCACUGAGGACGACCAUCAGAUUACAGUUCUCCUGUUCUAGAAGAACCUUGGAUGACACGAGGUCAACAAACACAGAGACACACCAUGAGGACUGGGAGAGUCUCAGUGCUCUGGGAUGGG
rnacentral:lncRNA from 1 species